rnacentral:rRNA from 1 species
UACAGAGGUCCCGAGCGUUGUUCGGAUUCAUUGGGCGUAAAGGGUGCGUAGGUGGCGCGGUAAGUCGGGUGUGAAAUUUCGGAGCUUAACUCCGAAACUGCAUUCGAUACUGCCGGGCUUGAGGACUGGAGAGGAGACUGGAAUUUACGGUGUAGCAGUGAAAUGCGUAGAGAUCGUAAGGAAGACCAGUGGCGAAGGCGGGUCUCUGGACAGUUCCUGACACUGAGGCACGAAGGCCAGGGGAGCAAACGGG